AUGAGAAGAAGACCACAAACAAUUAUGUUGCAUGUGAAACUUGUAUUAGUUUGGUGUGGUUGCUUGAAUAUUGAUGGCACACCAACUUUACAUUUAUGUGCAGCACUUUUAUGGUUCAUUAUGAUAUUUUGCUUAAUGAGAGAAUCUUUGCUUAUAAUAAUAGUCGAGGGAGUAUAUGGAUUUAGGAAAGGUUUAUUUAAUGACUUAAAAGUGUGA